rnacentral:rRNA from 1 species
UACGUAGGGUGCGAGCGUUAAUCGGAAUUACUGGGCGUAAAGCGUGCGCAGGCGGUCUGUUAAGACCGAUGUGAAAUCCCCGGGCUUAACCUGGGAACUGCAGUCGAGACUGUCUAGCUAGAGUAUGGGAGAGGGAAGUGGAAUUUCAGGUGUAGCGGUGAAAUGCGUAGAUAUCUGGAGGAACACCGGUGGCGAAGGCGGCAUCCUGGACCGGUAUUGACGCUGAGGCGCGAAAGCCAGGGGAGCAAACGGG